CUAGCCCCGAUUGCAGUGGAAAUCCUUUUUAUUUUUUCCGGCAGGAAAAAUAAAAAGAUUGCAACGGAAAGCGGGAAUA
rnacentral:sRNA from 1 species